CCGGCGCACGGGUGAGUAACACGUAUGGAACCUGCCCGCAGCAGGGGGAUAAGCGGAAGAAAUUCCGUCUAAUACGGCAUAAUGCAUCGACGGGACAUCCUGUUGGUGCCAAAGGUUGAUUCCGGUGGCGGAUGGGCAUGCGUCGCAUUAGUUAGUUGGCGGUGUAACGGACCACCAAGACGACGAUGCGUAGGGGUUCUGAGAGGAAGGUCCCCCACACUGGUACUGAGACACGGACCAGACUCCUACGGAAGGCAGCAG
rnacentral:rRNA from 1 species